rnacentral:rRNA from 1 species
AUUGAACGCUGGCGGCAGGCCUAACACAUGCAAGUCGAGCGAGCGGCGGACGGGUGAGUAAUGUAUGGGGACUGCCCUAUAGAGGGGGAUAACUACUGGAAACGGUAGCUAAUACCGCAUACUAUCGGAUAACCCAUAUGGGAUUAGCUAGAAGGUGAGGUAACGGCUCAACAAGGCAACGAUCCGUAGCUGGUUUGGGAGGACGACCGGCCACACUGGGACUGAGAAACGGCCCAGACUCCUACGGAGGCAGCAGUGGGGAAUUUUGGACAAUGGGGGAAACCCUGAUGCAGCCAUCCCGCGUGUAUGAUGAAGGCCUUCGGGUUGUAAAGUACUUUUGGCAGAGAAGCGGUAUCUGCAGAAUAAGCACCGGCUAACUACGUGCCAGCAGCCGCGGUAAUUC